rnacentral:tRNA from 1 species
UCCUGGCCGCUCAGACAGUAAAGCAUCUACCUGUAAUGUGGGAGACCCAGGUUCGAUUCCUGGGUCGGGAA